rnacentral:rRNA from 1 species
AGAAUCAACGCUGGCGGCGUGCCUCAGACACGCAAGUCGAACGCGAAAGUCCCCUUCGGGGGGCGAAGUAGAGUGGCGCACGGGUGAGUAACACGUAGGUAAUCUACCUUUGGAUGGGGAAUAACAACCGGAAACGGUUGCUAAUACCGCAUAAUGCAGCGGCACCUAAUGGUGACAGUUGUUAAAGCGGGGGAUCGAAAGACCUCGCGUCUGAAGAGGAGCCUGCGGCGGAUUAGCUAGUUGGUAGGUAACGGCCUACCAAGGCUACGAUCCGUA